rnacentral:lncRNA from 1 species
CCAAAUUUGAAAUCCAGAAAAUUACAACGGCUUUACUACAACCCACAUAAAAUAAUUUAAAGGUAAUAAUCAAAACUGUAACAUAACAGUGUGUGUGGCUUCCUCCGAGCCCCUAGCAACCCCGAUCCAUCUAAGGCUGGAAAUUACCUGAAAGGUUAAUAAACGGGGUGAGUUUACGAAAACUCAGUGUGAAAUCCCCUACUAUAAAAAGGAACAGUCAGUCAUCUAAAAGAAUUAAAAGUCUAGCCCCAGCCUUACUUACAAUUUCAGUACCAAUCGGAUCUUAGCCCAUUACAACAGACAGUACCAGAUAGACCUUAGCCCAUUACAGAAUAAGAAACAUUAUCAGAAUUGGAACCAAAAUGAGAAUUAGAAUCAGAAUCAGUAACAGAAUCAGAAUCAGAAUCAAUAUUAGUAACAGAAUCAGAAUCAGAAUCAGAAUUAGGUGACAAAAUCAGAAUCAGAAUCAGUAACAGAAUUAGAAUCAGAAUCAGUAUUAGUAAAAGAAUCAGAAUCAGAAUCAGAAUUACGUGACAGAAUAAGAAACAGAAUGUGAAUGCAAUCCCAACCCAAUCCAUCCGUAUACACCCCCGUACCAACCUUACACCAUGUGGGGAGACAACUCGACCCACCCAUCCGCUACACACCACAAAAUUUGCAGCAUGGCUGCUAGAACAGAUAUCGUGACAGAGUCACUAGAUACAGAUAUUGUGGCACAGCCACCAGAAUCAGAUAAUGUGGCAAACCCACCUAACAGAAUACGUGGCACAAAGCAAUAGAUAACUGUAAUAACUCCGGCACAUAGCCAUCAGUGACGGUAAUAUAACUGGCGCACAGCCUUCGGUAAAUAUGAUCGACACAGAGUCGUCAACAAAUAUGUUACGCACAUAGCUACAGGUAAAUACGUUUGGCACGAAGCCAUAGUCAAGAUGGCACAAAGCCAUAUUUAGGUUGGCACAGAGCCAUUAAUAACGGGUCUAUAAUCGGCACGAAGCCCACAACAACGGCACACAGCCUUCGGUAGCGUGAUCGGCACUUAGCCAUCGAUCAGUCAACAGAUAUUGUGACAGAGUCACCAAAUACAGAUAUUGUGGCAGAGCCACCAGAACAGAUAUUUGUGGCAUAGCCACAUGAACGCUUCCUCCGUACAAAAUCCCAACCCAUGCAACAUGUCAUGUAUGCAGAAUGUCAUGCCCAUAUUUGAAUCAAACAAUCACAGUCAAGUCAUUCAUAUCACCAACAUAUAUUCACAAUCAAAUCCGUCAAACACACAGUCCAAGUCAGUCACUUACCCACAAGGGCAAAACACUCAUUUAACACCCUAGGGGCAAAAUGGUAAUUUUACCCCACAAGGGUAUCUCGGUAUUUCUACCCUACAAGGGUAUUUCGAUAAUUCUACCCUAUAGGGGUAUUUUGGUAAUUCUAUCCUAUAAGGGUAUUUCAGUAAUUCUACCUUAUAGGGGUAUUUCAGAAAUUCUACCCUGCAGGGGUAUUUUAGUAAUUUCACAAUCAAGGGUAAAACGGUAAUUCUGUAAAUCGAGGGUAAAACGAUAAUUUUGUAAACUGAGGGUAAACCAGUAAUUCUGUAAAUCAAGGGUAAAACGGUAAUUUUACAAAUCGAGGGUAAAACAAUAAUUCUGUAAAUCGAGGGUAAAACAGUAAUUCUGUAAACUGAGGGUAAAACGAUAAUUCUAUAAAUCGAGGGUAAAACGAUAAUUCUAUAAACUGAGGGUAAAACGGUAAUUUUGUAAAUGUAAAACGGUAAUUCUAUAAAUUAAGGGUAAAAUGGUAAUUCUGUAAACCGAGGGUAAAACGGUAAUUCUGUAAACUGAGGGUAAAAUGAUAAUUCUAUAAACUGAGGGUAAAACGGUAAUUCUAUAAAUCGAGGGUAAAACAGUAAUUCUAUAAAUCGAGGGUAAAACGGUAAUUCUGUAAACUGAGGGUAAAACGGUAAUUCUGUAAACUGAGGGUAAAACAAUAAUUCUGUAAACUAAGGGUAAAACGGUAAUUUUGUAAAUUAAGGGUAAAACGGUAAUUCUGUAAACUGAGGGUAAAACGGUAAUUUUGUAAACUGAGGGUAAAACGGUAAUUCUGUAAAUCGAGGGUAAAACUGUAAUUCUGUAAAUUGAGGGUAAAACAGUAAUUCUAUAAAUCGAGGGUAAAAUGGUAAUUCUGUAACCUGAGGGUAAAACGGUAAUUCUGUAAACUGAGGGUAAAACGAUAAUUCUGUAAAUCGAGGGUAAAACGAUAAUUCUGUAAACUGGGGGUAAAACGGUAAUUCUAUAAAUCGAGGGUAAAACAGUAAUUCUGUAAACUGAAGGUAAAACGGUAAUUCUGGAGUACUUUGGUAAUUUUAAAAGUCGAGGGCAUGUCAGUAAUUGGUAAACUAAAAGUAUUCUAAACAUAGAUAAUAAUACGAAUGGGCCUAAAGCCUAUUCUCGGCCCAAAUGGGCCCACACACUCGUGUGGCCCUUUUAGCCCAAACCUAGCCACAGAUAUUCGAUUCACCUAGCCUAAUCCAAUAUUUACUACACAACCAAACAACUUAUCCAAUUAGGCCCGUAGGCCCAUUGGGCCCACAUGGGCCCUUUCGGCUCAUCGCGACCCAAAGUAGCCAUCCAACAACAAGAGUAGUGAUAAAUACACACCUGAUUGGAGACUGGAGUUAAUCCACGCUCCGAGCACUCUUAGCCGACGCCCAACCCAAACGAGCACGCCAUAAAGCGAAAGGGAUCAGCCAAGAAAGGUACAUUUACUCUCCUCAUGGUUCUCUCUAUUUAAAGCUAGCUUCCCAUCCACUCUUAUGUUAGCUUCCCGAUGUGGGAUCCCUCCAACAUCAGAGUUUAAAUUCAACACCAACUCUUGCCGCCCCCUGUUAGCAAAAUUAAUGCUCUUUGCUUGCUAUGGGACUCGAACCCAUGCCUCCCCUCAAAUGCUCCACACGCCACUUGCCACUAAGCCAUAAGGUUUUUUGUGUCACAAUUUCUCGAACAAUAUUCUUAAGGCCUACCUACUACACCCAGGGUUUGGUUCACCUUAAACCAAAUUUUUUGCUAGAGUCCAGGUUUAAACCCAGGACUUCUCCAACACUUCUCAACACACUUAACCACUAAAACAAGCCUUCAUUAACGAAAUUUGCAUGCACAACAGAAUAUUAUAAGCUGCCUUCAACCGCUCCCAUGCUCAAGGCCCAAAACUUCUAGUCCCAAAUUCAGGGUGUUACAACUCUACCUCCCUUAAAGAAAUUUCGUCCUCGAAAUUUCCAUCUAACAGGGUAGCCGUGUAACUGCUACCCCACUACGCUACCGCUGCGCACUCUGAUUCUACUAUCACUAUCACACUUUAACUAGAACUUGAAACAUCUCAUACAUACAACACUUAUUCACUGAAGUAGACACAUAUUUAUCACACAUAUAUACAAUUUCAAUAUCCAAACAUCAAAUCCACAUAAAAUAAAUACCAAAUUUAAAUUUAGACCAAUAUCUAAGGAAUCCAUAGUAUUUCAAUUUCUAAAUAAACAAAAGUAUUCAGAAGACUUACGGAUUCGGCGCCGGAGACUCGGUGUGCCACACUUUUUAAGAGAAAUACUUCAAACAGAGCACGCGGUUGAAAAUAAUUUUCUAAAAUUCAACCUUUGAAAACCCAACCCACAGUCGAGUUGUUGCAACCCAGGCUCUGAUACCACUAAAUGUAACACCCCAAACCCAGCCUGGAAGUUUGGCUCGAACUUGGCGUGUCACUUUGAAGUGUUUUUUGAAAACCAUGUUUCCAUUAAAAACCCUUCUUAAUAAUUAAAAACUUAUAACCUUUUUAAAACCUUGUUAGAAAACCUCAGCUGAAUAACAUUCUUAACAACUUUGUAAAAAUCUUGGUAGUUGCGGAAACUUACUUUAAAAAUAAUUGCGGUUACGUGAUGUUUUGAAUAACAGUAGUUGCUUUGGAAAAUCAUGUUCUAAUACUAGCAAUUAUAAGAACAAUAAAUAAAAUUCCAAAUUUGAAAUCCAGAAAAUUACAACGGCUUUACUACAACCCACAUAAAAUAAUUUAAAGGUAAUAAUCAAAACUGUAACAUAACAGUGUGUGUGGCUUCCUCCGAGCCCCUAGCAACCCCGAUCCAUCUAAGGCUAGAAAUUACCUGAAAGGUUAAUAAACGGGGUGAGUUUACGAAAACUCAAUGUGAAAUCCCCUACUAUAAAAAGGAACAGUCAGUCAUCUAAAAGAAUUAAAAGUCUAGCCCCAGCCUUACUUACAAUUUCAGUACCAAUCGGGUCUUAGCCCAUUACAAUAGACAGUACCAGAUGGACCUUAGCCCAUUACAGAAUAAGAAACAUUAUCAGAAUUGGAACCAAAAUGAGAAUCAGAAUCAGAAUCAGUAACAGAAUCAGAAUCAGAAUCAAUAUUAGUAACAGAAUCAGAAUUAGAAUCAGAAUUAGGUGACAGAAUCAGAAUCAGAAUCAGUAACAGAAUCAGAAUCAGAAUCAGAAUCAGAAUCAGAAUUACGUGAUAGAAUCAGAAUCAGAAUGUGAAUGCAAUCCCAACCCAAUCCAGCCGUAUACACCUUCGUACCAACCUUACACCAUGUGGGAAGACAACUCGACCCACCCAUUCGCUACACACCACAGAAUUUGCAGCAUGGCUGCCAGAAUAGAUAUCGUGACAGAGUCCCCAGAUACAGAUAUUGUGGCAGAGCCACCAGAAUCAGAUAAUGUGGCAAACCCAGCUAACAGAAUACGUGGCACAAAGCCAUAGAUAACUGUAAUAACUUCGGCACAUAGCCAUCAGUGACGGUAAUAUAACUGGCGCACAGCCUUCGGUAAAUAUGAUCGACACAGAGUCGUCAACAAAUAUGUUAGGCACAUAGCUACAGGUAAAUACGUUUGGCACGAAGCCAUAGUCAAGAUGGCACAAAGCCAUAUUUAGGUUGGCACAGAGCCAUUAAUAACGGGUCUAUAAUCGGCACGAAGCCCACAACAAUGGCACACAGCCUUCGGUAGCAUGAUCGGCACUUAGCCAUCUAUCGGUCAACAGAUAUUGUGACAGAGUCACCAAAUACAGAUAUUAUGGCAGAGCCACCAGAACAGAUAUUUGUGGCAUAGCCACCAGAACGCUUCCUCCGUACAAAAUCCCAACCCAUGCAACAUGUCAUGUAUGCAGAAUGUCAUGCCCAUAUUUGAAUCAAACAAUCACAGUCAAGUCAUUCAUAUCACCAACAUAUAUUCACAAUCAAAUCCGUCAAACACACAGUCCAAGUCAGUCACUUACCCACAAGGGCAAAACAGUCAUUUAACAUCUUAGGGGCAAAAUGGUAAUUUUACCCCACAAGGGUAUCUCGAUAAUUCUACCCUACAGGGGUAUUUUGGUAUUUCUACCCUACAAGGGUAUUUCGAUAAUUCUACCCUACAGGGGUAUUUUGGUAAUUCUAUCCUAUAAGGGUAUUUCAGUAAUUCUACCCUAUAGGGGUAUUUCGGAAAUUUUACCCUACAGGGAUAUUUCAGUAAUUUCACAAUCAAGGGUAAAACGAUAAUUCUGUAAAUCGAGGGUAAAAUGAUAAUUUUGUAAACUGAGGGUAAACCAGUAAUUCUAUAAAUCAAGGGUAAAACAGUAAUUUUACAAAUCGAGGGUAAAACGGUAAUUCUGUAAAUCGAGGGUAAAAUGAUAAUUCUGUAAACUGAGGGUAAAACGAUAAUUCUGUAAAUUGAGGGUAAAAUAGUAUUCUAUAAACUGAGGGUAAAACGAUAAUUCUGUAAAUCGAGGUAAAACAGUAAUUCUGUAAACUGAGGGUAAAACGGUAAUUCUAUAAACUGAGGGUAAAAUAGUAAUUCUAUAAACUGAGGGUAAAACGGUAAUUUUGUAAAUCGAGGGUAAAAUAGUAAUUCUGUAAACUGAGGGUAAAACGGUAAUUCUGUAAAUCAGGAGUACUUUGGUAAUUUUACAAGUCGAGGGCAUUUCAGUAAUUGGUAAACUAAAAGUAUUCUAAACAUGGAUAACAAUACGAAUGGGCCUAAAGCCUAUUCUCGGCCCAAAUGGGCCCACACGCUCGUGUGGCCCUUUUAGCCCAAACCUAGCCACAGAUAUUCGAUUCACCUAGCCAAGUCCAAUAUUUACUACACAAUCAAACAACUUAUCCAAUUGGGCCCGUAGGCCCAUUGGGCCUACAUGGCCCCUUUCGGCCCAUCGCGGCCCGAAGUAGCCAUCCAACAACAAGAGUAGUGAUAAAUACACACCUGAUUGGAGACUGGAGUUAAUCCACGCUCCGAGCACUCUUAGCCGACACCCAACCCAAACGAGCACGCCAUAAAGCGAAAG